AACGAACGCUGGCGGCAGGCUUAACACAUGCAAGUCGAGCGCAUCCUUCGGGGUGAGCGGCGGACGGGUGAGUAACGCGUGGGAACGUGCCCUCUUCUACGGAAUAGCCUCGGGAAACUGAGAGUAAUGCCGUAUACGCCCGCAAGGGGAAAGAUUUAUCGGUGGAGGAUCGGCCCGCGUUGGAUUAGGUAGUUGGUGGGGUAACGGCCUACCAAGCCGACGAUCCAUAGCUGGUUUGAGAGGAGGAUCAGCCACACUGGGACUGCGACACGGCCCAGACUCCUACGGGAGGGAGCAGUGGGGAAUCUUAGACAAUGGGGGCAACCCUGAUCCAGCCAUGCCGCGUGAUCGAUGAAGGCCUUAGGGUUGUAAAGAUCUUUCAGCUGGGAAGAUAAUGACGGUACCAGCAGAAGAAGCCCCGGCUAACUCCGUG
rnacentral:rRNA from 1 species